rnacentral:rRNA from 1 species
AAUGAACGUUGGCGGCGUGGAUUAGGCAUGCAAGUCGCGCGACAAGGAACCUUCGGGUUCUGGAGGAGCGGCAAACGGGGUAGUAAGGCAUCGGAACGUACCCUCUUGUUGGGAAUAGCCGCGGGAAACUGCGAGUAAUGCCCAAUAAUCCCUACGGGGCAAAGGUCCGCCGCAGGAGGAGCGGCCGAUGUGAUACCAGCUAGUUGGUGAGGUAAUGGCUCACCAAGGCUUAGACGUCUAGGGGGUGUGAGAGCAUGGCCCCCCACCACUGGGACGUGAGAUACUGCCCACGACACCUACGGGUGGCUGCAGUCGAGAAUCUUCGGCAAUGGGCGGCAAGCCUGACCGAGCAACGCCGCGUGCGGGAGUGAAGGCCCUUCGGGUUGGUAAACCGACUGUCGA